rnacentral:siRNA from 1 species
AGUUUUUCAAUGAGUUCUUAUAGC